rnacentral:lncRNA from 1 species
AACAGAUACAACUAUAGUGACUGUGAUGAUGAAAAUUUAUUUGGAAAAAAGAGACUGGAAAAGAAAGGCAGAAUGGAGGAUCUUUCAGAAAUUGAUGCAGCACCGCAAGUACCAUCACCACCAAUGACUAUGUUACUUUACGUUCCAGUACCCCUAGGAACAUUUACAGUCCUUGUUCCAGUGCAGUUGGAGAUCAAGACAGAACUUAUUGCAACUCGUCAUGUCUUUCAUUACUGACUGAACUUUUAAAAUCACAAGAGGUCAUAAAGCAGCAACUGGACCUGAUUCUCAAAAAUCAGCAAAAACAAAGCAGUACUCUGCAGCGGGAUGAAACUCCAGAUGCAAGCACAUUUGACCUUCCUUUGUCCAAUUUAUUUGAUUUAGAAAAGCUUGAACAUCAACUAAAGGAGCAGCCCGUACAAAGGAAGAAAUCGGUAAUUUAUUUUACUUAUUGGUAGGUUUUCCACUAAAGAAGCCGUGUGGCGUAUCCUAGGAAAGCUUUUGGUCAACUCCUUGGCUAAACAAAUGAACUGAGUGGGGAAACUGGAGUGGGGCAAACCAAAAAGUGGCUUUUCGUGCACUCACCCUAAGGACUGUCGUAGUCAAUGCAGUGAGGACAAAUGUCCAUACCAACAGCGCCACUGAUAAAGAGGUGGAGAAAUACAUUAAAAGGUGGCUACAACUUGCUCCUGAUAGGGUUGAUGGAAGGAAGGAAAGAGAGCAGCUAAUGUGUCAAAUGUCUAAAUCAAUUUAUUUUUUUAAAUUAUUUUAUUUUAUAACAACAUUUUAAGUGUAUUAAGAUGUUCCCUGAUACUUGGGCAAUUUGUUUCUUUUAC